UGCUUUAGCCUGUUUUAAAGUACUCUCAGGUGGAUUUCAUAAGGCUGUGUCCCCUUGACCCCAUCUAAUUUACCCCAACAGCCAUCACCUGUUCCAACCUGUGCUUGCAUUCGCUUUUCACAAUUAAUUCCUCUAUGUCCCUCACCACCCCAGACCUUCCCCACCAGGUGAAGGUGGUUCCUCCUCACCAUCACCUUUCCCUUGUUCUCCUUUUCCUCCCAGCCGAUGCCUCCCUGCGUCCACCACGCCGUUUUUGUGUCCGCCACCACUCCAGCUCCUUCCUCGCGGAUUUAUAACGCUGCCACUCACGCCGCCUUCUCCUCCCCGUGAGUAAUAGCGAGCCCCUGGGCAGUUACUGCAGCUCAGGAGGCACGCAGUCAUUUGUUCCCAGCUCGGUGCCUCGAGUGUGGAGAAGAGCCCAGCAAACCCAAACCACCGGCUUGCAGCCUGUCACCCCGGGGGAGGCGGCAGCCCUGCCAGCAUCACCCGGGAGCCUCCAGAGCACAACACUUCCACACAAAGGGAAUCCAGCUGAUGCACAGAGGGAUCCAACCCUGGCUCUGCUGGGACAUGGGACGGAAGACACCAGCUGCUGACGACUAUUCCAAGCAGCAGACGAGGCCUGCUGCCAUCUGGGUUUCCUCUAAGUAACAGAUAAUGCCAAGAUUGUCUCAUUCCCUGGCUUCGGAGGGACCCGAGGCAGAGCCUACUGACGGCCCCGAUUUAAUUAGGGGAAGCACCGAGGGCAGGCCAGAGCCCCGCUGGCUGCCACCCCGCAGCGGAGAUCCGCGAGGGAUUCAGCGGGAGCAUCCCCCGAGGAUGGUGUCAGAGCCCGGGGGAGCCUUUCUGGUGCUACUGAGCCAUCGCAAGCACACGCAGCUGGCUGGAACAACCCAGCGAGGGGGGCAAACGCCGCGGAGAAGCCCGGAGGAAAGCAUCCAGCAUCUCAGGCGUAGCCAGGGAGCCCGGGGCUCGCUGCGGCCCAUCGGUAUGUGGAGCAGAGGGCAGACACCCAGCUCCACGCCGGAGGAGCACGAAGCGAGGGGGCAGUGCCAAGCACGGGCCUGCAGCCCCGGAGAAAAGCCGCUUCAUGCUGCGAGCCUCGGCUCCACCAGCUUGGCACCGGCGUCACGGAUAUAUCUCGCCCUCUUUCUCUCGCAGGGCGCGUACACGUACGCACACGUUUGUUUUUAUCCUCCCUUUGUUGUUUUCUGAUUAAUAUCUUGCUAGAAAAGCCACCAGGCCCAUCCCCUGAGCCCCCUUUUUGCUGCUACCCUGCGGCACGCAGCCUCCGUGGGAGCUGCAGGCAGGGGAGCCCCGGAGCAGGACACUGCUCGGGGCAGCUCCUGCGCGUCCCAGCCCUCUCCGGGUGGCUCAGGGUGGGUAAAUCCCGCCUGCAAAAUGCGGGAAAGGAGGGAAAAAAAAGGAGACAACUCCCGUUUCUCCCAUUUCCAGCGGCUGUGGCUGUCACACUGACCUGGGGUGAAAGCGGGGAGCACGCUGGCAGCAAAGCGUUUGCUUCCUGCCUGCCCAGCCCCGACAGGAGCCCGGGGAGCUGGGAGGAGGAGGAGGAGCGCAGACAAAGGCGAGCCUUCCUCUGAGUCACGCAGCAUCUCGGGGGACGCUCCUGCACCAUGGCUGGGGCCGGUUGGGGCGGCAGCACCCCUGCCCCGCUCCCUGUGGGGUCUCCGCGUCCCUCUCCUUGUCGGUGGGCACCCAGUGCCAUGGGAAAAGGGCCCUUUUUGCCCCGUUACCAUGGGGAUGGGGAUGCGGGGUGGGCAUCGCACAGCCACCCCGAGCCAGGUGCUGCUGGGGAGCCUCGGCUUCACGUAUAGGGGUGCCCACACCGGGGGCUGCUCCCCUCCUUCUCCCCUUUGUUCCCCCUCUCGGGGAUUAGGAAGUGGAUUAGGAAAAGGCCUGAGCGGCGCUGCUAAAGGACGGGGAGACGGCUCCGUUUCCCAAACAUCCCCACCGUCACGUUCCCUCUCUGCACCAAAAAAAAAAAA